CGCUCUUCGCUAAAGGUUCUAGUGUAUGAGGAGUCCUGCCUGCCCAGUGACUUUAGUGGUUAAACGGCCGCGGUAUUUUGACCGUGCAAAGGUAGCAUAAUCAUUUGCCUCUUAAAUAGAGGCUGGUAUGAAUGGCAAGACGGAGGUUUGACUGUCUCUUUCUUAAGGAGGUUGAAUUUAAUUUCUUUGUGAAGAAGCAAAGAUAAGAUCGUAGGACGAGAAGACCCUGUCGAGCUGAAGUAGUAAAAAUUAAGUGUUGUUAAGUACUCUUAUGCUAAUUUAUUUUCGGUAGAAAUUGUAGAAUUUACGUAAGGUAUGAGUAUACUGUAUUAUUUCUUGUUUUGGUUGGGGCAAUCGCGGAGUAGAUGUAACCUCCGUUAUAAGUAUUGAUAUAAUAAAGUGACUUCUUUUUGUAGUAUAAAAUGUAUAUAUGAUCCACUAGGAAGUGAGUAAAGGAAUAAGUUACCGCAGGGAUAACAGCGUAAUUUUCUUGGAGAGUUCAUAUUGAUAAGAAAGUUUGCGACCUCGAUGUUGGAUCGGGAUUUCCAGGAGAUGCAGCAGUUUCCAAGGGUUGGUCUGUUCGACCAUUAAAAUCCU
rnacentral:rRNA from 1 species